rnacentral:lncRNA from 1 species
CGACCUUCUUUAAUGAUGGAUCACCAUUCAAUUCAGAAUCGGACCUAUUCGAUUAAGUAUUGCCUUUGCUCUUCGAGUGUUUACCUCUCUUUGAACGAGCCAAAGCCAUAGUCUGUAAAUUGUAUAUAACUGAAUUAGAAUCAUGAAUACUUAUACAAGAUAAACCAGAUAUGUUAGUCAAAAAUACGUCUAGCAAAUAAAAUUAGCAAUAUUUGAUGCAAAACAGAGGAAAAUUAAGUUGAUUAAAUUUACAAGAAACAUAUAUUGAUUUCUCAUUACCUAGUUCAUGCAGUUCGAUUCAAUCGAGGUUGAGUGCACGAGGAGUUACGUAUAUUUUGACUGAGGAUUCUUGUCUUUUGGUUCGAUCAUCGGGAUGGAUUUGUUGCCCGAUUGAAUUAGACUUUAUUUUUCUCUUCGAGUGUUGACCUCCCAUUGAACCAGCCAUGGCUACAAACUGUAAAAUGAAUAUGACUGAAAAUUACAAUCAUGACUACUUAUACAAGAUAAAGCAUUCAUCAAAUAUCGAUAUACACGUAUCUCAGUAAAAAAAAU